GUAUCAAGUGCUACGCCCGGACGAACUUCCCAGCUCGGCCGACAAUCAGGGGUCGGUGGGAUCUUCGUCCGUUUGUAUCGCUUAUAC